rnacentral:rRNA from 1 species
CAGGCCUAACACAUGCAAGUCGAGCGGGCCCUUCGGGGUCAGCGGCGGACGGGUGAGUAACGCGUGGGAACGUGCCCUCUGGUUCGGAAUAACUCAGGGAAACUUGAGCUAAUACCGGAUACGCCCUUUUGGGGAAAGGCUUGCUGCCGGAGGAUCGGCCCGCGUCUGAUUAGCUAGUUGGCGGGGUAACGGCCUACCAAGGCGACGAUCAGUAGCUGGUCUGAGAGGAUGAUCAGCCACACUGGGACUGAGACACGGCCCAGACUCCUACGGGAGGCAGCAGUGGGGAAUAUUGGACAAUGGGCGCAAGCCUGAUCCAGCCAUGCCGCGUGAGUGAUGAAGGCCUUAGGGUUGUAAAGCUCUUUUAUCCGGGACGAUAAUGACGGUACCGGAGGAAUAAGCCCCGGCUAACUUCGUGCCAGCAGCCGCGGUAAU